GCAAGGCAGGGCUUAGGGAAAGCAGGGACUUGCCUGGGACAGUGACACAGGGGACAGCUGCCACCAUGGCUGUGUCACACUGAGUUAUAGUCAUGAGAUGCAAUGACACCCCAGUGGGGCCAGGCAGGGAUUGCUUUGGGAGCUCUGGCUCAUCCAUUUUGCCAGAUCCAGGCUGGAUCUCCAAGGGGAGCCAUGAUGCCGGGAGAGAGAGGAGAAGCGCUGUGUGAGGUUCCACAGAGAUGUCUUUAUCGGCAUCUUCUGCAGAGGGUCUCAGUGACAGCUCUUCUACCAAACUGGGCAGGAAUAGGGGUUUACACAGGGUACAGGAGUUUCAGGAAACAGUAAGGGUGAAGGGAAAGUGAGCUAUCAUCUUACAGAGAGAUGACAAGGGUCCAAAGGUGGAAGAGAGGCCUCCUCAGGCCCAGCCGUUGUGACUCGGCAUUUCCCACCCUGGGGUGCAGGCCUCCGGCUCGUGGCACUGCUCCCUGUGACACGGCGUGUCCCCAGACAGCGUGUCCCCCUGACUCCAGCCGUGCAGACCAAACCCAGGCUGCCCAGUGGGACUAUCUGCCAGAGGGCAGCCUGGGAUCAGCGUUUUGUGUUGCUCCUCCAGAGCCACAACCAGCCCUUUGCCUUGGGCAGCUGCACCUUCACCACGGCAUCCACAGGAAGGCAAAACCCCUGCGUGUUUUAAUUGCUACUUUGAUAGCACUAAAGCAAAAUUCAGAGUUUGCCAGGCCCUUUUCAUAUCUAAAACUUGUACUUGUCAUAUUACACACAGUAGGAGAGGCUUCCAGCCUUUCCAUAUUCUAAUGUGAUGAAUCACACUGUGUUACUGAGCAACUCUCAGAAGUAAUCUAAGCUUUAGAAUAAAUUCACUGACUGCAGCAGCCUUAAAAAGAAGAGAAAAAAGAUCAAUAAAAGAGAUUCACUGGAAAAUAAGCUUCUGUGAAUGAGGGUGAAGCAAUUUCGUGUCAAAAGGAGCAGAUCUUUCAUGUGUUGUGUGUCUUUGUAACAGGUCACUUUAAAAUGAGGCCUUUCUGGGAAGGCAUCAGUAGCAGAAUUGAGGAACUUCAGUGACCCCAUGAUAGGCUGGCAGAGUCCCCACUCACAGGGAGCUUCUCCAGUGAGUGAGGAAUCCUGCCUGACCACACCUGGAGUGCUGCAACAGGCAGGACUGGAUCUGGGACACAAGCAGCAGGGUUAUUUUGGCUCAGGAUCAGAGCUGCACUGCAUCCUUGCCUCCAUCCCCACAUUCCUGUUGCAUCACCACACAUGGACGAGGCUCAUCUGACCUUGUAAACCCACCAAGGCUGCCACCACGUGAAAAUCAGAUUUGACAGGGACAAUUCUUUGGUAGAAGCUAAAAACCAAAGGGGAGAAAAACCCCAAGCCAGCUUUGGUCACCUGAUUUAGCAGGGCCGAGGUCUGAUGUGCCCUGUGGGAGGCAUCCCUGGGUAUCAGCGAGCAGUGCAGGUGCCACCUGGGAGGUGACAAACAGGAGGAGGAGAGACAAAGGAAUGAUGCUCCUUCCAGGUGAAGCACAACUCCCAAACAGAGUUGGGAAGGAGAGACAGUGACGAUCCAUCAGAAACAACAGAAUUCAAUGCAAUGGCUCAUGCUCCAACCCCCUGAAGUAGGAAUGGAGUGAGAAUGACCCCUCAAACCCACAGCAGGAGGGGCCAAGCCUUGGGCUGAGAUCUGAGGUGUGGCUCAGCCCCAGAACCUGUCAGGUCUGGAUUUGCCAGACUCCUGCUGGAAUCCCAGGCCCACUGCCACUCCUCCAUCCCAGCAGCCUCUGUCCUUGGGUUAGUGCUCCUUGGAUGCAGUAAAAGUGCAACAGCCACCAGGAUCCAUGUGCACAGCACAGAGCAGGCUGGGGCUCUGUCUGAGGAGGAUUUUAUACAUGAGAUGCUUCACAUUUCUGCCUCCUGCUCUUCAAGCCCACCUCACCACUGCCAGGUAAAAAGGGGUGAAGAUGAUGCUGGGCCACAGUUUUAGAGAUCUAAAUUGAGUGAAGACUCAUCAGUGGGGAGGAGUCUGGAGUCUGAGCCAGCAUGAAUAAAUGAAUGAAGCAUCUGCUGCAGCUGGACACCAGGACGGCCCCAGGACUCAGCCCACUGGGAAGCAGGGUCCCUCGCCAGGCUGGACAGCUCCAGUGCACAGGACUGAAGAAAAGCAGUAAGAACUGAAGGACUCUGGAGCUCCAAACCCCUGUAAUCUUAAAAUGACUCAUUCCCAGUGCCAGAGUUUCUCAAAAUCCUUCAGAUCCUCCGAGCUCAGCAGCUCUUCCUCUGGAUGGAUGGAAGAUUCAUGGCAAUGGGAUUUACAGCACUUGGCUCCUGGAUAUCAGGCCAUUUAUUCACCAUCAGAGAAAUUUAGGAGCUUGUCAACACCUGACAGCAGCAGCACAGAACAAUUUAAGAGAAUUAAAGACAAUUUCUGUAUUUAAUUAAGAACCAUCCAGGCAUCUGAGAAUUGCACAAUACCAGAAGAUCAAUGGUGAAUUUUGUAUCUCAUCCUCUGUAAAGAUCAAUGAGGCCUUUGCAAAGACCAGGAAUAGUUAAAUUUAACAUAGAAGAGAAAAAAGAUGGGUUUUUUUUGUAAUUUCUGCAUUCAGUCCCAAGUGUUAUCCAUUUUAUAUAGUUAUAGAAACAUUACUUUUGUGCAUUAAGAUUGAGCUACCCAGAAAUAAAAUCUAUUUUGCACAGGAGGGUCAAGAAAAGCCAUGUCCUGCUGAACUCUACACAGGUUUUGCCCUGCCUACAUCUAAAUACCAUCUCCAUAAAACCUUCACCUUUGCUGCUUUUACAACCAACUUCUCUCAGUCACAUCCUUCACAUUCUCAGUUGUACAGCAGCAGCUUCCAGGGUUGCUGGGUCAUUCUGCACAACCUUCCCCGUGGCUGGAUGCAAGACAGGGAAAUAAUGUGGUUGCCAAGUCUUUCUCUUGCUGGAAUCCUGAAGCCUAUUAAAGCGUGUCUCAGGGAGGGAGAACACGCUCUCUGCAGAAUUCCUUGGAAGUCAGAGUAGUUUCAAUGUUGUACCAUUAAAAAUCUGUAUUAUAAUAAAGGUCAAGCCUCAUUUUAAUGCCAUGA